CUGGACAUAAUAGCAUUAAAAUCCCAUGCUAUCAACCAGGGGCCAGUGAUACUAGUAGCAAGGUUCUGAAGGGCUGUCCACAGUGAAUUCCUUUGUACAAUGUCAUUGUGGCCAUAUACCACUGUGAGGCCACAAAUUAAAUCAUCAGUGAGCUUCUUAACAGUGCAAUGGAUGUAUUGUGCUUCUUCCUGAACACCAGUGACCAAGAGCUUGGUUGAAUCCCAUAAGAUCCAAAUUCGACCAUUUAUGGCACUGCUAUAGUUAGCAAGCAUACCCCAGUUAGGUAGUAAAACUCCAGAUAUUUUUGCUGCAUUAUUCUGUUU
rnacentral:lncRNA from 1 species